rnacentral:rRNA from 1 species
GGUAUAGACCCGAAACCCGGUGAUCUAGCCAUGGGCAGGUUGAAGGUUGGGUAACACUAACUGGAGGACCGAACCGACUAAUGUUGAAAAAUUAGCGGAUGACCUGUGGCUGGGGGUGAAAGGCCAAUCAAACCGGGAGAUAGCUGGUUCUCCCCGAAAGCUAUUUAGGUAGCGCCUCGUGAAUUCAUCUCCGGGGGUAGAGCACUGUUUCGGCUAGGGGGCCAUCCCGGCUUACCAACCCGAUGCAAACUGCGAAUACCGGAGAAUGUUAUCACGGGAGACACACGGCGGGUGCUAACGUCCGUCGUGAAGAGGGAAACAACCCAGACCGCCAGCUAAGGUCCCAAAGUCAUGGUUAAGUGGGAAACGAUGUGGGAAGGCCCAGACAGCCAGGAUGUUGGCUUAGAAGCAGCCAUCAUUUAAAGAAAGCGUAAUAGCUCACUGGUCGAGUCGGCCUGCGCGGAAGAUGUAACGGGGCUAAACCAUGCACCGAAGCUGCGGCAGCGACACUCAGGUGUUGUUGGGUAGGGGAGCGUUCUGUAAGCCUG